GACGAACGCUGGCGGCGUGCUUAACACAUGCAAGUCGAGCGGUAAGGCCCUUCGGGGUACACGAGCGGCGAACGGGUGAGUAACACGUGGGUGACCUGCCCUUCACUCUGGGAUAAGCCUGGGAAACUGGGUCUAAUACCGGAUAUGACCUGCUCUCGCAUGGGGGUUGGUGGAAAGUCAGUAUUGUAGUGAUGCUGGCGGUGGGGGAUGGGCCCGCGGUCUAUCAGCUUGUUGGG
rnacentral:rRNA from 1 species